GUCCCCGCGCACGCUCCCCGCCGGCCCCCACGCAUACGCCCCCGGCGCUGCUGCGGCGGCUGGCUUGGGAGGGGGUCGAGGGAGCGGGAGCUUGGGGUGGGCUUCGGGAGCGCAGGGAACGGCGGGAGCCGGGAGGUGACGGCUAGCAGCGUGAGAAGGCCGCUGGCUCCUGAGAAAUCCCCCUCCUCCAGGUGGUUUUGUCCUUUUGGACCAAUUAUCUAACCUGGGCCUGGACUCCAUCUACCACUGUCCUGCCUGGUUCACUGCAGCUCACUUCAUCUUCCUGUGCCUUCUCUGAAAGGGCCCCUCCAAAAGUUUCCUGGAAACUCUCAAACAACUGAGAAGGUGCCUCGACAUCUGAUUUGCCCCAAACCUCUAUACACUGGACAUCUUCUGAAUAAGGCUGUGUUGUAUGUUGGGACAAGCAAAGGGAUGGAAAUCAAGAAUUCUGGGUUUUAGUCCUGACUGUCACUACAUGGCUGUGUUACUUCUGACUCUGUGAAGCAGAACUCGGGCCUCUAGCGUCUGCUAGUCUAGAUCUAAAGGUGUUUCCUGAGGGACAGUUUGGCCUGGCAUGCAGGUACCUCUGCAGACCACAACAGUGCACCGAAAACACCCCCUCCCAGCACGCACACAAGUCUGGCUCCUCAGCCAAACAUCAAACACCAACACUGCUGCCCAUGCCAGAUGCCAAGUGAGAUAAUGUGUGUUAUACCCUUAGUGUGUUACAAAGAGAAAAGAUUAAUAAAUGUUAGCUAUCCUUAUCUUCAUUAUCUAAAUAAGGCAUGUGGAUCUCUUUUCAUUUAAACUCACAAAAUACCUGCUUAGAAGGCC
rnacentral:lncRNA from 1 species